UAAGUAGGGGGCAAGCGUUAUCCGGAUUUACUGGGUGUAAAGGGAGCGUAGACGGCGAUGCAAGCCAGAUGUGAAAGCCCGGGGCUCAACCCCGGGACUGCAUUUGGAACUGUAUAGCUAGAGUGUCGGAGAGGCAGGCGGAAUUCCUAGUGUAGCGGUGAAAUGCGUAGAUAUUAGGAGGAACACCAGUGGCGAAGGCGGCUUACUGGACGGCAACUGACGCUGAGGCUCGAAAGCGUGGGGAGCAAACAGG
rnacentral:rRNA from 1 species